rnacentral:rRNA from 1 species
UACGUAGGGUGCAAGCGUUGUCCGGAAUUAUUGGGCGUAAAGAGCUCGUAGGCGGUUUGUCGCGUCUGCUGUGAAAUCCCGAGGCUCAACCUCGGGCCUGCAGUGGGUACGGGCAGACUAGAGUGCGGUAGGGGAGAUUGGAAUUCCUGGUGUAGCGGUGGAAUGCGCAGAUAUCAGGAGGAACACCGAUGGCGAAGGCAGAUCUCUGGGCCACUACUGACGCUGAGAAGCGAAAGCAUGGGGAGCGAACAGG